UCUAAGUAUAACCUGCCAGACAGGGAAACUGCGUACGGCUCAUUACACCAGCCUUNAUUUACUUGACCUUGACAACCUACUUGGAUAACUGUGGUAAUUCUAGAGCUAAUACAUGCACCAAAGCUCCGAUCCUCGCGGAGAGGAGCGCAUUUGUUCGCCACAAAACCAAGCGCCCAUCUGGGCGUCCAGUGCUGAACCAGAACAACUCAGCUGAUCGCACGGUCUUGUACCGGCGACGUGUCUUUCAAGUGUCUGCCUUAUCAACUUUCGAUGGUAGUGUACCUGACUACCAUGGUUGUGACGGGUAACGGAGGAUAAGGGUUCGACUCCGGAGAAGGGGCCUGAGAAAUGGCCACUACGUCUAAGGAUGGCAGCAGGCGCGCAAAUUACCCACUCUCAACGCGAGGAGGUAGUGACGAGAAAUAACGAGACCGUUCUCAUACGAGGCCGGUUAUUGGAAUGGGUACAAUUUAAA
rnacentral:rRNA from 1 species